GCAUGAUGCAGUGUGAAAAACUCCGGUGGUAUAAGAUGGACCCGCGUUGGAUUAGCUAGUUGGUGAGGUAACGGCCCACCAAGGCGACGAUCCAUAGCCGACCUGAGAGGGUGACCGGCCACAUUGGGACUGAGACACGGCCCAAACUCCUACGGGAGGCAGCAGUGGGGAAUAUUGCACAAUGGGCGAAAGCCUGAUGCAGCGACGCCGCGUGAGCGAAGGAGUAUUUCGGUAUGUAAAGCUCUAUCAGCAGGGAAGAUAAUGACGGUACCUGACUAAGAAGCACCGGCUAAAUACGUGCCAGCAGCCGCGGUAAUACGUAUGGUGCAAGCGUUAUCCGGAUUUACUGGGUGUAAAGGGAGCGCAGGCGGUGCGGCAAGUCUGAUGUGAAAGCCCGGGGCUCAACCCCGGUACUGCAUUGGAAACUGUCGUACUAGAGUGUCGGAGGGGUAAGCGGAAUUCCUAGUGUAGCGGUGAAAUGCGUAGAUAUUAGGAGGAACACCAGUGGCGAAGGCGGCUUACUGGACGAUAACUGACGCUGAGGCUCGAAAGCGUGGGGAGCAAACAGGAUUAGAUACCCUGGUAGUCCACGCGGUAAACGAUGAAUACUAGGUGUCGGG
rnacentral:rRNA from 1 species